AAGUGAUUGCCUAAGUUUGCUUAAUUAUAAAACUAGCAAUGAUCUUAUCAUUGUCAUAGCUAUACUCAUCAGACUUUUACUUGCUAUUGCUUCUCUCAUCCAUUUCCUUGUAAAUGGGGACAUCACAAGCAUUAGUUCAGUUACUCAGUACCACAACAUUUACAUAUUGGUAUAUCCUCCACAAAAAUUGUCUGUUCUAUUUAUUUGUUAUCACAUACAAUCAAAUUCUCAUCUUAUUUCAACAUAUAAAUUACACACUCAAUCUCUUUAACACUGAUUUAUUCCCUAUAUUUGUUCCUCACAUUUAUAAAAUGCAUUCUGUUCUCAUCUCUUUCAUCUUCAUCCUUCUCAUCAAAAGAUGCACAAAAUUCAUAUAAAUACAUCUCUAUCAAUCAUUCA
rnacentral:lncRNA from 1 species